rnacentral:rRNA from 1 species
GACGAACGCUGGCGGCGCGCCUAACACAUGCAAGUCGAGCGGAGAUAUUUGAAGGAAGUUUUCGGAUGGAAUUUGGGUAUUUUAGCGGCGGACGGGUGAGUAACGCGUGAGUGACCUGCCUUCCACAGGGGGAUAACGUACCGAAAGGUACACUAAUACCGCAUGAGACCACAGCACUGCCUGGUGCAGGGGUCAAAGGAGCAAUCCGGUGGAAGAUGGACUCGCGUCCGAUUAGAUAGUUGGUGGGGUAACGGCCUACCAAGUCAGCGAUCGGUAGCCGACCUGAGAGGGUGAUCGGCCACAUUGGAACUGAGAGACGGUCCGAACUCCUACGGGAGGCAGCAGUGGGGAAUAUUGGGCAAUGGGGGAAACCCUGACCCAGCGACGCCGCGUGAGGGAAGAAGGUUUUCGGAUUGUAAACCUCUGUUCUUGGUGAAGAGGGAAAGACGGUAGCCAAGGAGGAAGCCCCGGCUAACUACGUGCCAGCCGCCGCCGUAA